rnacentral:lncRNA from 1 species
AGAAAGGUGAACUACCUAGUCAACCAGUGCCUAACCCUAGUAGACAACAAAAUCAAGGUCAGAUAGGUCAGUAUCAAAUCAAUUCUAAUGGAAAUCCGACCUAUGAAGUCCAGGCAAUUACCACUUUAAGGUCUGGCAAGCAAGUGGACAAUAAAGUCCAACUUCCUGAACAUGAAAAAGAAAAUAAAACUGAAUCCGAUAAGAACCCUAUUCAGAAGAGGG